CGGACGGGUGAGUAAUGUCUGGGAAACUGCCUGAUGGAGGGGGAGUAACUACUGGAAACGGUAGCUAAUACCGCAUAACGUCGCAAGACCAAAGAGGGGGACCUUCGGGCCUCUUGCCAUCGGAUGUGCCCAGAUGGGAUUAGCUAGUAGGUGGGGUAACGGCUCACCUAGGCGACGAUCCCUAGCUGGUCUGAGAGGAUGACCAGCCACACUGGAACUGAGACACGGUCCAGACUCCUCGGGAGGCAGCAUG
rnacentral:rRNA from 1 species